rnacentral:rRNA from 1 species
AUGGCCACUCCUCUUCCCCAAACAUACCUUACUCAAUGUUGCUUGCCGUGUGAAAAGGAGCUAAACUUGGUAUUGUACUUGCACCAAGUCGUAGGACCAAACGCCAAUCAAAAGACAAUCAUACCAACAAAACCCGGUGAGAGUUUGUUUGGUAUCACUGCUGUUAAUAACUGGGCCAUAGUAAAUGCCCCAGAUUUCAAAGCAAAGGUCGUUGGUCAUGCACAAGGCAUUCAUGUCAUGGCUGAUCAACCAAGUGUUGGCUAUUACAAUUCUUCAACCUUGCGUUUGUGGAGGGAAGUGCUUAUAUUGAAGGCAUUAUUGUACUUCAAGGGAGCGACUCUUCAGGUGAUGGGGAUUUUUAAUCCCGUGGGGGAAUGGGCCAUUAUCGGUGGAACUGGAGAACUUACUAUGGCACGUGGUACUAUCAAAUACAAAAUACUCCAGGAGUCUGCUGGAAUUGAGAGUAUUCGGGAACUAAAUAUUCGCGCAUUCUACACGCCCCCGAGCGCACUAGUUGUCAAGGGCGCAUGA